rnacentral:rRNA from 1 species
CGGGAAUAUUGGACAAUGGGCGCAAGCCUGAUCCAGCAAUACCGCGUGUGUGAAGAAGGCCUUCGGGUUGUAAAGCACUUUAAGCGGGGAGGAAGGCCUGAUGGCUAAUAUCCAUCGGGAUUGACGUUACCCGCAGAAUAAGCACCGGCAAACUUCGUGCCAGCAGCCGCGGUAAUACGAAGGGUGCGAGCGUUAAUCGGAAUUACUGGGCGUAAAGCGCGCGUAGGUGGUUAAGUAAGCGAUCUGUGAAAGCCCCGGGCUUAACCUGGGAACUGCAGGUCGAACUGCUUGGCUAGAGUAUGGUAGAGGGGUGUGGAAUUUCCUGUGUAGCGGUGAAAUGCGUAGAUAUAGGAAGGAACAUCAGUGGCGAAGGCGACACCCUGGACCGAUACUGACACUGAGGCGCGAAAGCGUGGGUAGCGAAC